UCCGUAGGUGAACCUGCGGAAGGAUCAUUACUGUUCUUGCUGCCGGCGCUUGACUGCGCGGCGGCCACCUUACACACUUGCUUAUUAUUAAUGCCUUUGCUUUGGGUGGGCGGAGCCCUUGGGCCCUGCCCGCCCGGAGAUUAAACUCAAGAUUUUAUCUUUAUUACAGCUUGUCACGAAGAACACAAAUCUUCAAAACUUUCAACAACGGAUCUCUUGGUUCUCGCAACGAUGAAGAACGCAGCGAAAUGCGAUACGUAAUGUGAAUUGCAGGUUUUCGUGAAUCAUCGAAUCUUUGAACGCAUAUUGCGCCCUCUGGUAUUCCGGAGGGCAUGCCUGUUUGAGCGUCAUUUCUCUCUCAAGCCUUCGGGUUUGGUGUUGGGCGAUACUCUCUGGGUUAGCUUGAAAUAGUGCUGGCGGGGCUGCUUAGGGUCUCUACCGAACUGACGUUUCUAGGUUCUACCAAUUCGUCUGUGACAGUAGCAGUGCUAAGCACCACCCUGCCCACCACCCCCCAAGUUUGACCUCAAAUCAGGUAGGACUACCCGCUGAACUUAAGCAUAUCAAUAAGCGGAGGAAAAGA
rnacentral:sRNA from 1 species